CAUACUUCCGCAAUCCACCAGUGCUCAGCGGCCAAGCCUGGUAUUGCAGCUGUUUAAGCGGGCUAUGGACCCUCGAUUGAAGUGGCCCAGAGGGGUUGUCCACAAAGCCGGUUUUAUCACAUAACCGGGUAAAUUAACCCAGGGUUUGCGGUAACCCUAGGUUUUCCGUUCCAAAAGGAACACGGUAUGUUAGUUGCUAUAGAAACAUAUGCUCUGAAUCAAACCUGGUCGGAGCAGGUUUUGCGCAGGUUAAGUUCAAAGAUAACCCGGUUUUGCUCAGGGUAUUUAAACCCGCGUUCACCACAGCUUUUACGUGACCACAAUGGCAUGCCCUUUUGACGAGAGGCCGGUUGAUAUCGGAGCGCAAAUAAUUCGUGCAAUUCACAGAGAGAGAUUAAUUAGACCACGGCUCGACAUAUUGUCCUUUCCGGAGGACUUUUUGCUGGAGAGAUAUCGUUUUUCACAUGAUUCUUUGCUAUAUUUAAAUAACCUUCUCCAACCCUACAUUGCAAAUGUUACCAAUCGUGGAUCUGCCCUCUGUUCACUCCAAACAAGUUUUUUUUCGACGGGUAGCUUUUUAUACAGUGUAGGAGAUCCUGAGCACAUAGGCAAAGCCACGGUCUGCCGCUCAGUAGGCUACGUAAAGUUUGUCUUGCGCUGAAGCGGUUGUUGCGUAACUUCAUCGUUUUUCCAGGCCAUAAACCCACGAGACGCAUGUAAAUGGAGUUUCACCAACUUGCAGAUGAUAUGUGAUGCUUCCCACAUGAUCACCAAUGUAGAGGCAUAAUGGCCUGGUUCAGUCCACGAUGCCAGGAUGUAUCGUGAAUCCAAUUUGAGCCGUAAAUUUCAAGAGGGACUUCGUUGAGUCCACUGCCACCAGCCCCCCCCCCACCUCUCCCUUAUGCUCCUCCACCCCAGGCACCUCUUCCACCACCCCAGACACCCCUUCCAAGAGGAGAGUGCCAGGGAGCAGGCGAGGCAUGAGGAGAGCGAGGCAAAGUUGGCGGAAUGGUUGAGAAGAUGUGAUUCUCCACCAUUCUCUCAAAAGCUGAGAGAGAGAGAGUGUGUGUGUGUGUGUGUGUGUGUGUGUAUUUUUAGAUGCGUCUGUGUGUAUUUUUAGAUGUGUGCUUCAGUGUUUCUUAUUUAAAUAAAGUGUUUCUUCUAAAGUGUUCUUGUUCAUAACCGAUUAUUUUCUAAGGGUGCACUCACACUAGGCCAUCUGGCCGUGGCCGUGGCCUAACCAUGCUCAAAUCUGCCAGUGUGAGUGUGGCCAGUCUGGCCAGGCCGGGCCAAUUUGGCCACUUGGGAGAGGUGUGCUGCUACGGCACGGGCCGCUACGGUACAGAUGCUAAUGAGCCGACACGCGCACACGCACGGCUACGCAACCUGAGCUGGAUGACGUAUAGUCAAUGCGACGACCACGGACAUAAUAAAGGCGACGAGCCUUCUUUCCCAUUAAACGGUAAACAUUGCGUCAAGCAGUUCAACUGUUGGUGUGUUCUCUGUGUUGUUCUGUGUCUGUCCAUUGUUGUUAAAACUGACUGGCGGUAGACUUUAUAUGGUCCAUGCAGCGGACACUUGGUGAUGACGUGUUACGACGUGAUGACGUAUGUACAAGAGCCUUCCGUGGCCAGGCCACAGCUGCGACGGCCAACGGCCACGGCCAGAUGGCCUAGUGUGAGUGCAGGCCAGAGAACAAUGGGGCCAUUUGAGCACGGUUAGGUGUGAAAACGGCCAACGGCCACGGCCAGAUGGCCUAGUGUGAGUGCACCCUAAUACCACCUUUAACA